AUAACUAACUUUAUUCAUACGAAAAGCGUGACAACAAUUUAAAAUAAAAGAAAAAACAUAAAUUAAACACAUUCACAUGCAAUAACCACACCUUCAUUUCUAUAGGAAUAACUUGUUAAACCAUACAUCUCCCUCAUCACUCAAUAUUCAUUAGUCCCCCCAAUCCCAGCUAGCUUGCUAUAUAUAUAUAAGUCCAACAAUAUCGAUCCUUGAUGAAAAAAAAAAUAAGAAGAAGAAAGCUAGAUUGUUUGUUGCAGCAGGUGGAAGCUUCCAAAGGGAUCGCAUUGAUCCAUUCUAUUAAACUUGCGGCAACAUAUAUGCUAUAUAUAUUGUUCUGAUCAAUUGAUAAUUUGGAUCAUGUGAUCUCUUUGGAAGUUUCCAUCCAUGUCGCUGCAUGUUUUCACCUCGAUUCAUGAUCAUUAUUCUUUUUUUUAAUUCCUUCAGCUAGUUUCAAUUUGAUUUAAAGCUAGAAGCAUACAUGUAUAAUGCGGCAGUGAUGGCAAUGAUGGUAACGAUGUGAUUAUUAAUAUCAGAGUAAAGAAAUAAUAUCGAUAAAGAAACAAUUAUAUAUGAUGUAUUCACAAAAUAAAAAAGCGAACAACAAAUAUGAUGAUGAUCAUCAUCCCAGACGAGGUGUUAUUAAUUAAGCAACAUAUUCAUUCACUUACCAGCCAGACAAGUUGCUCGGAUGAGGUCCCUAUCUAAAACCUGGAAUUCCCUCUUGUCUCAUUCCUCCUUCAUCGAAUCUCAUCUCAUUCGUUCCAAGGAUACCAACAAUGAAAUCCUCAUGGUGUUUGAAGACUCACUACAUUCCGAAAAGAGACCAUUCACAGAGCACACGAUUACCUCAGCUCCUCUCAAACGGAUGAUGUCCAACUCACUAAUUCAGUCAAAGUAGUCCAUACGAGUAGCAACUCCAACUCACCUUAUGGCACUGUUGUUGGUUUAACAUGCCUUUAUGGUACGGGAGGAGUUAAGAUUUGGAACCCUUCUCUCUCAGCCUUAAUAGUUCUCCCACCAUCUACUAUUCUUCGUUUGGACAAUGGCAAUGAUUGUCAUUCCUCUCUCCGCUUCGGUUUUGAUCCCAAAACGAAUGACUACAAAGUUUUCAAGCUUAGAUUUUAUUUAGACGAUCAUGACAUAUAUGACUUUCAAAUGGCUUCCCGCGGAGGUGUUCAGUUUUUGGGAAGCAAUUGCCGAAAGCUUUCCAUCCAAUGUUCCAACUGUUCAAACGAUGCCCAAUAGGAAUGAAGUUUUUGUAGAUGGACAUGAUGGCCGUCUUCAUUAUCUUUGUACUAGUGUUAAUAAUGAUCGACAAACAAUAGUGGCCUUUGAUUUGGGUGAUUGUGUUUAUAGGAUGAACGAGCUGGCAGUUUUGUCCCAAAAGCCUUGUGUAAUGUCAUGUGUUGCCAAUGUUGGUUGCGAGGUGUGGGUGAUGGAAAAUUACGGGGUGGCUACUUCGUGGGUGAGACGCCAUGUAAUUCCAAAUUGUGAUGCUGAUCAUAUUGUUCCAGUUGGAUUCACUUUAAACAAUCGGUUCCUGUUUAGACAUGGUAUAUAUUCAUCUAUCAUUGUUCGAUACAGAAACAUCAAAAUAUAGUUGUUUUAAGGGUGUCACAUUUAAAUGUCAACAGGAGGAUGGUGUGGAUCCAUAUUUCCUCCAAGUCAAAGUUGUUCAAUAUGUUGACAGUCUUGUUUGGGUAACACCCUCUAACUGGGCCUAUAAUGAUGUCUCAUCACAAACUGAAAAGAAGCAACACUUAUUGGAUGGUUAAUGACCAACACUACAAGAGGCAACACUUAUUGGAUUUCUGCUUUUUUUUAGAACGACUUGAUUUAACAAAAGUGUUGAUCAAUUUCUAGUUUAUUACUUCAGACACUAUUUCAAUUCGUUAGCGUUAUGUAUCAGCAACACUUUAUUUUGUUGUUUAAUUAUCUGUAGUAUACUA